AGCGGGGCGGCCCGGCCGAGAGCAGCGCCCAGCUCCCAGCGCCCCGCACCGCCCGGCCCGGGCUGGGAGCGCUCCCCGCGGGGGGCCGGCGGCGGGCAGGGCAGGGCAGGGCAGGGCAGGGCAGGGCGGCGGGGGUGGGAUCUGCUCCGCGUAAUUCCCCCCGGGGGGCGGCGGGCCGCUCUCGGAGCAUCCCCCCCCCCCCUCCGUCCCCGACGCGGGGAGGGGAGAGCCACCACCCCCCGCUUCCUCCGUUUAAGACCCGGGCCGGCGGGGCGAGAGCGGAGGAGAGCGGCCGCUCCGCAGCUGCCGGCCCCAUUUCGGCGGCGGGGCGGGCGCUGGAUGAGCCGCCGACGGGAGGCGGCCGGCAGCCGAGCGGGUCCGAUCGCGGCGCGAUGAGCGCGGGCGGCAGCGGCUCGGCGGGCACCGCCACCUCCGCGCUGUGCCUGCUCCUGUCGCUCACCGCCGUGGCCGUGUGUCUGCUGCUGGGCGCUAAGACCGCCGAGCUGCAGGGCCGCCUGGCCGCCCUGGAGGAGCGCGGUGCCGCCGGCCCCGGGCCGCUGCUGGACGCGCUGCAGCCCCGCGUGGAGCAGCUCCUGCGCGAGAAGCUGGGCGAAGGACUCGCGAAGCUGCGGACGGUGAGAGAGGCUCCGUCAGACUGCAUGUGCCCACCAGGUAAGUGCAGAGGGAUCAGCACAGCUGUACUGCGCUGCAUGGGAGCUGCCGGCACACUGGGCUGAUGCUCAGCUCUGUAUUCACCUACACCAUGUAAAAAAUGUUUCUCCGAGCUGAAUCCCUGCCUUGUGCUGGGGGUUGUUGUUUUCUUCCACCUCCUUGCAAUGGCCUGCAUACGGAUCAAGGAGUUGGAGGUUUGGACAGAGCGACCCUCAGCUGUAUGAACUGCUUUGCUCGGUUGUGAGCGCCGGGUGUUGGG
rnacentral:lncRNA from 1 species